CUGAGUUAUCUAAACUCCCAACCCUAUGUGAACCUUACCGUCGUUGCCUCGGCGGGCUGUGCUUACCCGGUAGCUACCCUGUAGCUACCCGGUAGGUACGCUGCAAGCCCGCCGGUGGACCACUAAACUCUGUUUAAUUACUGUAUCUCUGAAUGCUUCAACUUAAUAAGUUA
rnacentral:misc_RNA from 1 species